GAUGAACGCUGGCGGCGUGCCUAAUACAUGCAAGUCGAGCGAACAGACGAGGAGCUUGCUCCUCUGACGUUAGCGGCUGACGGGUGAGUAACACGUGGAUAACCUACUUCUAAGUCUUGGAUAACUUCGGGAAACCGGAGCUAAUACCGGAUAAUAUAUUGAACCGCAUGGUUCAAUAGUUAAAGACGGCUUUGCUGUCACUUUUAGAUGGUUCCGCGCCGCAUUAGCUAGUUGGUAAGGUAACGGCUUACCAAGGCAACGAUGCGUAGCCGACCUGAGAGGGUGAUCGGCCACACUGGAACUGAGACACGGUCCAGACUCCUACGGGAGGCAGCAGUAGGGAAUCUUCCGCAAUGGGCGAAAGCUUGACGGAGCAACGCCGCGUGAGUGAUGAAGGUCUUCGGAUCGUAAAACUCUGUUAUUAGGGAAGAACAAAUGUGGAAGUAACUAUGGACGUCUUGACGGUACCUAAUCAGAAAGCCACGGCUAACUACGUG
rnacentral:rRNA from 1 species